UACAGAGGUGGCAAGCGUUGUUCGGAAUUACUGGGCGUAAAGGGCGCGUAGGCGGUCCUGUAAGUCCUGUGUGAAAUCCCCCGGCUCAACUGGGGAAUUGCACGGGAAACUGCGGGGCUUGAGUUCGGGAGAGGGAAGCGGAAUUCCGGGUGUAGCGGUGAAAUGCGUAGAUAUCCGGAGGAACACCGGUGGCGAAGGCGGCCUUCUGGACAGUGACUGACGCUGAGAUGCGAAAGCGUGGGGAGCAAACAGG
rnacentral:rRNA from 1 species